AUUGAACGCUGGCGGCAGGCCUAACACAUGCAAGUCGAACGGCAGCGGGGGAUAGCUUGCUAUCCUGCCGGCGAGUGGCGGACGGGUGAGCAAUGCUUGGGGAGCUGCCCAGUCGAGGGGGAUAACAACUGGAAACGGUUGCUAAUACCGCAUACGCCCUAAGGGGGAAAGGUGGGGAACUUCGGUCCUACCGCGAUUGGAUGCGCCCAUGUGGGAUUAGCUAGUUGGUGAGGUAACGGCUCACCAAGGCGACGCUAGCUAGCUGGUCUGAGCGGAUGACCAGCCACACUGGAACUGAGACACCGUCCAGACUCCUACGGGAGGCAUCAGUGUGGAAUAUUGCACAAUGGGGGAAACCCUGAUGCAGCCAUGCCGCGGGUGUGAAGAAGGCCUUCGGGUUGUAAAGCACUUUCAGUCAGGAGGAAGGGGUGAUGGCUAAUAUCCAUCAUCAUUGACGUUACUGACAGAAGAAGCACCGGCUAACUCCGUGCCAGCCGCCGCAGUAA
rnacentral:rRNA from 1 species